rnacentral:tRNA from 1 species
GGCGUCGUAGCCAAGCGGUAAGGCAGAGGUCUGCAAAACCUUCAUUCCCCGGUCCGAUUCCGGGCGACGCCUCCA